CCCCUUUGACUAUUAACAUGAGUACCACGGUGAUAAAGUCCACGGGUAACGCCGAGAUACGUUAACAUAUGAGUUACAAAUGUAGACAUGGUCUAACCACAGUAUUCGGCCAGCUUUGACACUACAAGUGGAUCAAUUCAACAGACGGAAUAAUAACUACAGAUCCUUGGCAGACUUGUGACGAUGAAGGAGGUGGCGAUUAUAGGAGCUGGGGCCAGUGGCCUUACUGCCAUAAAGUGUUGUCUAGACGAGGGACUGGUACCCACAUGUUUCGAGAGGACGGACGACAUAGGUGGACUGUGGAAUUAUACGGAGGAGGUGAGAGACGAGCAGGCAUGCGUGAUGAAGUCGACGAUAAUUAACACGAGUAAGGAGAUGAUGUGUUAUAGUGACUUCCCUAUUCCUGAACAGUUCCCUAUGUACAUGCACAACAAGUACGUCAAACGCUACUUCAAAAUGUAUGCAGAUAACUUCAAACUGGUCGAACACAUACAGUUUAACACAGAGGUUUUGUCUGUGAAACAAGCCGAAGAUUUCGACAUGAACGGACAAUGGGUGAUCUCCACUCGCGACAAAAAGACGAAGAACGAAGUCACGAAGACCUUCGACGCGGUGCUGGUUUGCACUGGUCAUCAUGCUUGUCCAAACAAACCAGAUUUUCCUGGGCUUUCUAAAUUUAAAGGCAAGGUCAUCCAUUCACAUGACUACAAGACCCCAAACGAAUACCAUGAUAAAAGAGUGGUCAUCAUAGGAAUCGGAAAUUCCGGUGGCGACGCAGCUGUUGAACUAAGUCACGUGACAUCUCAAGUAUUUCUGAGCACUAGACGCGGGAGCUGGGUGUUUAACCGAAUUGGACCUAAUGGAAUCCCUAUCGACAUAGCAUUUACCUCCAGAUUCACGUUGGCCAUACAACGUGUGCUGCCGCUUUACGCACUGGAAUCAAUAGCACGUUCCCAGGUGAAUAAACGAUUUGAUCACGCAGCCUAUUCAUUACAGCCCAACCAUUCGUUCUUUGCCCAACAUCCAAUGGUGAACGAUGAUCUUCCCAAUCGUAUAGCCAGUGGAUCGGUCAGAAUCAAGACGGACAUUAAAUGUUUUACCGAAACUGGUGUGGAAUUCACAGAUGGAACAAAGGAAGAGAACAUCGAUGCGGUGGUUCUUGCGACUGGCUACAAAUUCGGAUUUCCUUUCAUUGAUAAAUCCGUUAUUGAUGUACAGGAUAAUCGCAUAGAGCUAUUCAAAUAUAUGUUUCCACCAGAUCUGAAAAAGUCGACCAUUUGCAUCGUUGGUUGUGUGCAACCUAUUGGUGCUUUGAUGCCGAUCUCGGAGCUCCAAUGCCGACUUGCUACUAGAGUGUUCAAGGGAGAUGUCACCUUGCCGUCAAGUGAUAACAUGUGGGCCGACAUCCGGGCGAAGGAAGAGAAGAUGAGACAAACGUAUGUGAAAUCUCAACGUCACACGAUACAGGUGGAUUGGAUCCCGUUCAUGGACGAAAUUGCCGCACUGAAUGGCUGUAAACCCAACCUAGGUAUGUUGAUUCGGAGAGAUCUACAUUUAGCGAUGAAGUGUAUCUUAGGGCCGUGUACACCUUACCAAUAUAGACUCGAGGGGCCCGGCAAAUGGGAUGGGGCAAGAGACGCAAUCUUCACACAGAUGGACCGGACUUUAAACUGCCUGAAGACAAGACCACUAGGGUUCGAGCCUAAAAAGUCCGGGGGAUUAUUCCUGUUGAUCUUGGUCGCCCUUCUGGCUAUCGUCUAUAAACUGUUCUUCUGAACAAAUCUGAACGUGUUUAUAGUCACGUGUACUAAGUCAUAUUCUAAGUGACAAUGGAUUCGCAGUUUAUAUCACUAUAAAUGUCAUGUGUGAUUGUUCAGUAUGGUGACACUAACAUUCAUGGAAAUAUGUGUAUAGUUGUACAAAGUAACCAGUCCAUUAGUAGAUUGGUUGUUAUCUUCACUGAGUGGUUUCUUAUCCUUAUCACAGCAAGUUAAAAUUCUAAUAGAAGUUUAUUCUUUGUUGUUUAAACCUAUGUGUUUCAAUAAGUUUAAUUUAAUGCAUUCGACAUCCUGUAAUUGAUAAAUUCUUAAAUAUAUCACAUUCAUAGAUACACGACGUCUUACUUACCGUAGGAUAUACAUGUACGGAUAUACAUGUACUUGUACAAUGCCUUGUAAAUACGUUUUUGUGUAUUACAAUAUCCGACAAGCUAAUUAAUACAAUGUGAAAAUAAUUAUGUUUAUUAUUUUUAUACAUAGAACAAGUCGCAUAUUCUUUUUCAAGUAGAAGAAUUGAAAUAGUCGAUUUUAAAUGAAUCCGUUCAGCACACUUUACAAAACACAAAUUCAAAUAAUUAUGUAGGUACUGCUUAAAUUAAGAUGAUUAUAAUUUUAAAGAAAUAAUUCAACAUUGAUGGUUUGAAUUAAUUUCCCAAAGCCUAAUAUAAAUCAUCAUUCCUUGUCUGUUUAUACAAGUACAACUUUAUAUAUAUCUGAAUAUCCCUCGUGUAUAGAGAGCGAUGACGACUGGGUAUUUUACGUGAACCAGCAGCGUGAAUCGUUUACUGAUAUACGGGUACUUUGUAGUGUUUAGGUGAAGAUUAACUUUAAGUAAAUCGUUCAAUAUUUAUUACUUUAAUUAAUGUCCAUUUAAAAGAUAGAGACCUGCUGAUAUUCCGGAGCGAUCCUUGAUUAAUUGUAUACUACCUCGAAUCAAAAGACGCUCUCGCGCGUUAGAUUACUUUUAAUUCUUUAAUGACCAUAGCUUCAAUUGUUUUACCAGGCACUCAUCUUCAUCAAACAAAGAACAGAAGAAAAAUAACAAAAUUAUGCUUGUUCUUUCUUUAUUUUUCUGAAAUAGGCACGGCGCUACUAAUAUAUUUACAUUAACAUAUUAAUGAGAGUAUUAUUGCAUAUUAAGAAAACAAUUUCUAUUGAUUGAAAUUCAUCAAAUAUACACGUUUUACAACGUAUUGACUAUUUUGAUAAUUAUGUUUUUAUAAUACACGAUGUAUGUUGUUGAAAAAGAUUUGAAUUUCCUGUCAUAGUUGAGCUGUGAUGAAUAUAUUUUAUGUGUGUACGAUGCGGAUAUUUGGCGAUUUGGUGCCAUAGAUCAUGAGAUCGAGGCCCGUUAAAGGCACGAGUCAUAAAACUUUCUUCUUUCGUCAUUUGUGUUUCUAUGUUAAAUAUAUAUACCCAGUAUACCGUCGUUAUCACAUACUAGACCGUAUAUAUAUAAAUAAAUAUAUAUUUACAUUC